UGAUUGAUGAGCUUCAUGGAUUACUCUUGUAUAUUGGACACCUAUCUGAACUUCCCAGUGUUAAUAUAGGAGCAUAUGUAAAUCAAAACCAGAUUAAGCUUUUUCCACCAUCAUGGCAUUUAUUACAUCUCCACUUGGAUAUACAUUGGCUGGUGCUAGAAAUUCUUUACAUGCUGGGUGAAAAAUUGAAACAAGUUGUAUAUGGUCAUCAGUUUAUGAAUCUGGCAAGUGACAAUUUAACCAACAUCAGCCUAUUUGAAGAACAUUGUGAAACUCUCCUUUGUGAUUUAAUAAGCCUGUCACUCAACAGGUACGACAAGGUUAGGUCUUCUGAAUCAUUAAUGAGUGACCAGUGUCCAUGUUUAUGCAUUAAAGAAUUAUGGGUUCUACUUAUUCAUCUUCUAGACCACAGAAGUAAAUGGUUUGUCUCAGAAAGUUAUGGAGGCUAAGAAGUCCUAAAUCUGAGGUUGGCAAGCUGAAGACCCAGAGGAGCUGAUGGUAUAGUUUCCAGUCUCAGUCCAAAGGUCUGCAAACCAGGAAAGCCAAUGGUGUAAUUUCCAGUCUGAGUCCAAGUCUGAAGGCAGGAAAAGAACAGUGUUUCAGUAUGAAGCACAGGGAGUCUUCUCUACCCUUGGAGGACUUUUUGUUGUAUUCAGGCCACUAAUUGAUUGGAUGGCACCCACCCAUAUUAGAGAGGGCCAUCUCUUUACUCAGCCUACCAAUUAAAAUGUA
rnacentral:sRNA from 1 species